rnacentral:rRNA from 1 species
AUGCUGGAGGUAUCAGAAGUGCGAAUGCUGACAUAAGUAACGAUAAAGCGGGUGAAAAGCCCGCUCGCCGGAAGACCAAGGGUUCCUGUCCAACGUUAAUCGGGGCAGGGUGAGUCGACCCCUAAGGCGAGGCCGAAAGGCGUAGUCGAUGGGAAACAGGUUAAUAUUCCUGUACUUGGUGUUACUGCGAAGGGGGGACGGAGAAGGCUAUGUUGGCCGGGCGACGGUUGUCCCGGUUUAAGCGUGUAGGCUGGUUUUCCAGGCAAAUCCGGAAAAUCAAGGCUGAGGCGUGAUGACGAGGCACUACGGUGCUGAAGCAACAAAUGCCCUGCUUCCAGGAAAAGCCUCUAAGCAUCAGGUAACAUCAAAUCGUACCCCAAACCGACACAGGUGGUCAGGUAGAGAAUACCAAGGCGCUUGAGAGAACUCGGGUGAAGGAACUAGGCAAAAUGGUGCCGUAACUUCGGGAGAAGGCACGCUGAUAUGUAGGUGAAGUCCCUCGCGGAUGGAGCUGAAAUCAGUCGAAGAUACCAGCUGGCUGCAACUGUUUAUUAAAAACACAGCACUGUGCAAACACGAAAGUGGACGUAUACGGUGUGACGCCUGCCCGGUGCCGGAAGGUUAAUUGAUGGGGUUAGCGCAAGCGAAGCUCUUGAUCGAAGCCCCGGUAAACGGCGGCCGUAACUAUAACGGUCCUAAGGUAGCGAAAUUCCUUGUCGGGUAAGUUCCGACCUGCACGAAUGGCGUAAUGAUGGCCAGGCUGUCUCCACCCGAGACUCAGUGAAAUUGAACUCGCUGUGAAGAUGCAGUGUACCCGCGGCAAGACGGAAAGACCCCGUGAACCUUUACUAUAGCUUGACACUGAACAUUGAGCCUUGAUGUGUAGGAUAGGUGGGAGGCUUUGAAGUGUGGACGCCAGUCUGCAUGGAGCCGACCUUGAAAUACCACCCUUUAAUGUUUGAUGUUCUAACGUGGACCCGUAAUCCGGGUUGCGGACAGUGUCUGGUGGGUAGUUUGACUGGGGCGGUCUCCUCCUAAAGAGUAACGGAGGAGCACGAAGGUUGGCUAAUCCUGGUCGGACAUCAGGAGGUUAGUGCAAUGGCAUAAGCCAGCUUGACUGCGAGCGUGACGGCGCGAGCAGGUGCGAAAGCAGGUCAUAGUGAUCCGGUGGUUCUGAAUGGAAGGGCCAUCGCUCAACGGAUAAAAGGUACUCCGGGGAUAACAGGCUGAUACCGCCCAAGAGUUCAUAUCGACGGCGGUGUUUGGCACCUCGAUGUCGGCUCAUCACAUCCUGGGGCUGAAGUAGGUCCCAAGGGUAUGGCUGUUCGCCAUUUAAAGUGGUACGCGAGCUGGGUUUAGAACGUCGUGAGACAGUUCGGUCCCUAUCUGCCGUGGGCGCUGGAGAACUGAGGGGGGCUGCUCCUAGUACGAGAGGACCGGAGUGGACGCAUCACUGGUGUUCGGGUUGUCAUGCCAAUGGCACUGCCCGGUAGCUAAAUGCGGAAGAGAUAAGUGCUGAAAGCAUCUAAGCACGAAACUUGCCCCGAGAUGAGUUCUCCCUGACUCCUUGAGAGUCCUGAAGGAACGUUGAAGACGACGACGUUGAUAGGCCGGGUGUGUAAGCGCAGCGAUGCGUUGAGCUAACCGGUACUAAUGAACCGUGAGGCUUAACCUUACAACGCCGAAGCUGUU